AUUGAACGCUGGCGGCAGGCCUAACACAUGCAAGUCGAGCGGAUGAAGGGAGCUUGCUCCUGGAUUCAGCGGCGGACGGGUGAGUAAUGCCUAGGAAUCUGCCUGGUAGUGGGGGAUAACGUCCGGAAACGGGCGCUAAUACCGCAUACGUCCUGAGGGAGAAAGUGGGGGAUCUUCGGACCUCACGCUCUCAGAUGAGCCUAGGUCGGAUUAGCUAGUUGGUGGGGUAAAGGCCUACCAAGGCGACGAUCCGUAACUGGUCUGAGAGGAUGAUCAGUCACACUGGAACUGAGACACGGUCCAGACUCCUACGGGAGGCAGCAGUGGGGAAUAUUGGACAAUGGGCGAAAGCCUGAUCCAGCCAUGCCGCGUGUGUGAAGAAGGUCUUCGGAUUGUAAAGCACUUUAAGUUGGGAGGAAGGGCAGUAAGUUAAUACCUUGCUGUUUUGACGUUACCAACAGAAUAAGCACCGGCUAACCUCGUG
rnacentral:rRNA from 1 species